rnacentral:lncRNA from 1 species
CCAGCUCUUACUUUUGUUUACAGUUUUGGGUGAGAUGCCUGCUUCUACUUCACCUUCUGCCAUGAGUUAAAGCUCCCUUAGGCUUCACCAGAAGGUGAGUGAUGUCAGAUGUCAAAAAUUUAAUUUCUCAAAACUCAUAGCUAUUUAGUAAAGUUAAUAAACACACUUAGCUUCACACUUGAAUGCUGUUACUAUUUAUUGACAUCAAAACAAAACAAGCUGAGACUAAAAGUUGCUAUUUAACAGGAAUAGACAUUGGUGCAGUUUCCUUCCUGGAGAGGGUAUGCACUCAGAUCAUGAGACCUAAGAUCAAACACACUGGAUUGUCAAGAGUCAAACAAGGACUACAUUUUACCUCUUAAUAGAAAAGAUGCUGACGACAAAACACGAAGUUUAAGAAUAUUCUUUACGCUAAGCUCAUAUAAGCAAACAAAAAACUAAAACUAAUCCUAAAACUUUAGGACACUGGAUACAGAAGUAACAUAACUAUUUAAAUUUUUGUAUCAACGAAAGUGUGUUCUAUCCUUCACUGUACCUGUACUACAAGGACAUGCUUGUUGCUUCUACACUACCCAAUGUCAACACUUAUCAUCAACAAUACAAUAGAAUUAGAUCGGAACAAGGAUUCAAAGCGACUCUGCUCCACCCAAAUUCAGAAAAUUCAAUUCGGGAUGAACAACAGCUUUUGAUAUUAGAACCAGCUCUUACUUUUCUCUCGUGUCAUAUGUGAUGAAGUCCUCACUUGACAAUUCCCCCUGCAAAUUGCAAUGCAUGUCCUUGCCGUCACCUUUUUCUGACACUUUAAUUUGUAGAAAUUGCAAAAGCAAUGAAAUUGUACUUCCAAUUCUGAACCUCUGAUCAGAUUCCUGCUUUGACACAAGACUUACUCCUCUGCAGUGUACCCCACCAGCACAGCGACUCCCUUUCUCUCUAUUCUUUGCCCUGAAGGCACCUCUGGAUUGCUUAACGUGUGCUCUUUGGCUGCCUAGACAGUCAGGACACCUAAGGCCAUCUGGACUUAUCACUC